rnacentral:rRNA from 1 species
UAGCUUUGAGGCUAUUUAAAUCUUUUUUUCUUUUGGUUUAGUACCUUUUGCAUCAUGAUUUGUCGAAAUUUAUUGAUUAAUUUCAAUUUUCCGAAAAGUCGUGAUUUUUUUAUAAUUUGUUUAGAACUAAGGGGGUAUCAGGAAGAUACUUCUAAAAAUUAUAGAAGGUUGUGAAAAAUAAUUCGUACGACUUUAUAUCUGAUUGCCGAGUCUUUAUAUCAGUGUAUUCACUCUGCUAGGAUGUGGGGUGAAAUUUAAGAGAUUUAAUUGCGAGUUUAUUUGCCUAGGAAUAAAAGUGUCCGGGGGUUAAUAGUUUGUUACUAAAGAGUUUAAGUCGGAGGCAAUCUUUAAUAUAGUCUUGGCAUAGUUAACUAGGUUAAUGAUAAUGAUAGAAUAAGUAGGUGUGUUAAAAUGAGUGUCUUUUUUCUAGAGGUGUGCCGGUCUGUUUAUUAAAAACAUUUCUAUUUGUUGUGUAUAAAUAGUAGUGCCUGCCCAAUGUGUAUAUUAAUGGCCGCAGUAUUUUGACUGUGCAAAGGUAGCAUAAUUAGUUGCCUCAUAAUUGGAGGAUUGUUUGAAAGGUUUGACCAGGUAUAAUUUAAGAUGAUGCUCUCAGCUGAAAUUGGUUAUGGGGUGCAGACCCCUCAUGUAUAUAAUUAGACGGAAAGACCCCGAGAUCUUUACAUUUAGGUGUUUGUUUGGGGUAAAAGCAUAUUUUUUAUAUGUUUUUAGAGCCUUUAGGGCUAUAGGUGAAAGUUACCUCGGGGAUAACUGGGUAAGAGACAAUUAGAGACCUUAUCGAUUUGUUUAGUUGCUACCUCGAUGUUGACUUGGGGACGGGUAAAGGCGCAGCAGUUUUUAUCAAAGGGUCUGUUCGACCCGUAGAUCCUCCCAUGAGUUGAGUUAAGACCGGCGUAAGCCAGGUCGGUUCUUAUCUAUUGUUCUAAUGGAUUAGUACGAAAGGAAUUUCCAUUAUUUAAGUU